GGAUGAACGUUGGCGGUGUGCCUAAUACAUGCAAGUCGAACGGAGACUGUAGCAAUACUGUCUUAGUGGCGAACGGGUGAGUAACGCGUUGGUGAUCUGCCUCGAAGUGUGGAAUAACCUCCCGAAAGGGAAGCUAAUACCGCAUAGUCUCUCAAGGUUUAGAAAAUUGAGAGUAAAGGAUUUAUUCGCUUCGAGAGGAGCCUGCGUCCCAUCAGCUAGUUGGUAGGGUAACGGCCUACCAAGGCAAUGACGGGUAGGGGACCUGAGAGGGUGGCCCCCCACAAUGGAACUGAAACACGGUCCAUACACCUACGGGUGGCAGCAGUAGGGAAUAUUAGAAAUGGGCGGAAGCCUGAUCUAGCAACACCGCGUGUGCGAUGAAGGCCUUCGGGUCGUAAAGCACUUUUUGGAGGGAAUAGGAAGGAAGGUACCUCCAGAAUAAGUCUCGGCUAACUACGUGCCAGCAGCCGCGGUAACACGUAGGAGGCAAACGUUAUCCGGAUUCACUGGGCGUAAAGCGCGUGCAGGUGGUUUCGUAAGUAGGGCGUGAAAGCUCCCGGCUCAACUGGGAGAGGCCGUACUAAACUGCGGAGCUAGAGGAUGGUAGAGGGAGGUGGAAUUCCAGGUGUAGUGGUGAAAUGCGCAGAUAUCUGGAGGAACACCAGUGGCGAAGGCGGCCUCCUGGACCAUACCUGACACUCAGACGCGAAAGCUAGGGUAGCAAACGGAAUUAGAGACUCCGGUAGUCCUAGCCCUAAACGAUGCAGACUAGGCGUCGGCGGUUUAAUCACCGUCGGUGUCCAAGCUAACGCGAUAAGUCUGCCGCCUGAGGACUACGGCCGCAAGGCUAAAACUCAAAGGAAUUGACGGGUCCCCGCACAAGCAGCGGAGCGUGUGGUUUAAUUCGAUGCUCCGCGAAGAACCUUACCAGCCCUUGACAUGGCAGGACGAUUUCCGGAGACGGAUCUCUUCACUUCGGUGACCUGCACACAGGUGCUGCAUGGCUGUCGUCAGCUCGUGUCGUGAGAUGUUGGGUUAAGUCCCGCAACGAGCGCAACCCUCGCCCUUAGUUGCCAUCAUUCAGUUGGGCACUCUAGGGGGACUGCCGGUGAUAAGCCGGAGGAAGGUGGGGAUGACGUCAAGUCUUCAUGGCCCUUACGGGCUGGGCUACACACGUGCUACAAUGGCGGUGACAGAGGGUUGCCAGGUCGCGAGGCCGAGCUAAUCCCUAAAAGCCGUCUCAGUUCGGAUUGCACUCUGCAACUCGAGUGCAUGAAGUCGGAAUCGCUAGUAAUCGCAGAUCAGCACGCUGCGGUGAAUACGUUCCCGGGCCU
rnacentral:rRNA from 1 species